UGGGGAAUUUUGGACAAUGGGCGAAAGCCUGAUCCAGCAAUGCCGCGUGUGUGAAGAAGGCCUUCGGAUUGUAAAGCACUUUUGUCCGGAAAGAAAUCCUUGGCUCUAAUACAGUCGGGGGAUGACGGUACCGGAAGAAUAAGCACCGGCUAACUACGUGCCAGCAGCCGCGGUAAUACGUAGGGUGCAAGCGUUAAUCGGAAUUACUGGGCGUAAAGCGUGCGCAGGCGGUUUGCUAAGACCGAUGUGAAAUCCCCGGGCUCAACCUGGGAACUGCAUUGGUGACUGGCAGGCUAGAGUAUGGCAGAGGGGGGUAGAAUUCCACGUGUAGCAGUGAAAUGCGUAGAGAUGUGGAGGAAUACCGAUGGCGAAGGCAGCCCCCUGGGCCAAUACUGACGCUCAUGCACGAAAGCGUGGGGAGCAAACAGGAUUAGAUACCCUGGUAGUCCACGCCCUAAACGAUGUCAACUAGUUGUUGGGGAUUCAUUUCCUUAGUAACGUAGCUAACGCGUGAAGUUGACCGCCUGGGGAGUACGGUCGCAAGAUUAAAACUUAAAUGAAUUGACGGGGUCAUAGCUGUUUCCU
rnacentral:rRNA from 1 species